ensembl:lncRNA
AUAGAGAAAAGGGGCAACUUCUCAAGGUCAAAGUAGCUCUGCAACCCUCUGCUACUGCCUACAUUUCUAUGGGCAGAUCGACUUACCUCAUACUUAUGCCUCUUCCUAGACUGCUGAUGGUCAUGAUGUGAAGAAUUCUUGCAUCUGCUUGGUGACUUGCUCUUUGAGUUGGCUGUACUUCCAGAAAGAGGGCAGUGUUAUUCAGAAACUUAAGUCUCCAAAACUCAUUGUAGUUCCCAAGGGCUCCUAAGAGAAGAUUAGAACUGUUACCUAGUACUCAGUGGGAACAAAUCCUGGAAUGGAAUAAUGACCUUAGAAGCUGGCUUUAUGCAAUAAGUACACCUGACUAUGCCACGGGUGCUGUGGAAAUCUCUGCACAUUUAGCUGUUCAGAUAAGAAGUAGUCAAGGAACAAGAGUAUGAGACUUUCAUGGAUAAUUCACAAACUGGACGCUCAUGCCAGGGUGCAUUAGAUGCUCCUGAGGAUGGAGUCACCUUGCAGAAGAGGUUAUAACAGCAGUUGUUGGGACCAGUUUGAUGAUGUGAGGUCAUACUCUGAAGAUGCACUGGCACAAGAAGUAAGGGCAAAGGAACUCUCCACUUUGGGCACACUGUCCUCUUCGUGUUUUGUUUUCAUUUCUCAUUCUGAAAACAUGAACACCAUUUGAUUGCAAAUAAUGCCUUUUAUUCACACAUACAUAUGUUCUGAGCAGAUUGGUUAUUUAUUUAUUUAUUUAUUUCUGCAGCUUAAGAAAGAGGAACUUACAUGUGAUCCCAAACUAGUAAAAGGAGUGAAAUGUCAUAUCUUUGUACCAUGAGAAUAAUCAUCCCAAGAAAAUAUAACUUUCCUAG